UGUUAAAAAAAUCAUUUAUUUCUAUUGUUAAAAACUAAUAUGAUUGACGGAAUAACCAAAUAAUUACACAUGUAUUUCAUCUUAGGGUUCAAAGACCAAUUUUUAACAAUAGAAAUGAAUGAAAUUUUUAAUA
rfam:Gossypium raimondii Chr06_contig_1309, whole genome shotgun sequence.